AAACCCGUUAAGGAGGAGCUUGGUUUUAAGAAGCUGGGCAGUCAGUGGGAGUUGACUCUGUGGCCUUAGGCAUUUUUGAAAACAUCCAGCUACAAAGCGGGAACAGCACAGAGAAACUGCAGUGUAGUUCAUAAAAAAAGAUUUUCGGAGACCAUAUCUCGAGAGUUUUCCUAGAGAUUGUUUAUAAUCUCUCGAGUUAGAAAGUUGUAUGCAUCUCGUAUACUGAAGCGUCUUCCUUCAGCCAGGGAUUGAGAAACGGAAAUACCACCACCCUCCAGCCAAACCUGUGAGGACUGAUUGCAGGAGAACUGGUACUCCAGAUGUUAGAGGCGCUGCAAGUGUGAGCAGGUGGCAGUGGGCAUGCAUUACAGGUUGUAGCAGAUAUUCUCAACAUUUCUAUUGAAACUUCCUUAUCUCCAGUUGCAAGAGGAGACCCAAGGCCUCAUCCCGGUGGUAGCUGCCGCUGCCAUGAUCUGAUAUAAGCUGUGGUUCACCAGGGAACUUUGGCAAGAGAAUUGGCUAGAUCAGCAAGUCCAUCUCCACUGUGGAAAAAUAACUUGAAGCUCAUCUCUGUUGAUGGCAUAAACAAAGCCCAAGGUUUCAGACUGUAGGACCGAUGCUCACUGAAGUCAAAUGCAAGGCCUAACUGUAAGGAGAGGAUCAUUAUACCACACAAGGAGGUCCACAUGUGCUCUGGUGUUAUAAUCAGUUUAAAGUUGUAAAAGGACCCUUCUGCUUGAAAAUUAUGAAAAAAAUAAAAGGUCACAGAGACUGUUGAAUCCCUUCGCUUCAAUUCUGGCUCACUUCACUGCUCCAGAGGUAACCACUAUCCUGAAGUUGGUGUGUUUUCUUCCUCCAAGUUUUAACAUUUCUGUGAUUAAUGGGCAAAAUGUGAACUUCACUAGGAAUUUCUCCUAAAAUUUUGAUUUACGGUUUACUUUCUCAAGACUCAUUUUGAAUUACAGAGAUCAUGUUCUGCUAUAACCUCUUAAGGAAGGAUUUCAAAAUGAAUGUACUGUCUGUGUGACAGGGGUAUACUGAAUACCUGCUUCGCUGAAUACCCGCUUCAAGUCACCUUUCACUUUUUCUCGGUGGAAAAACAGCCUUUGGAGAAUCAUCUUAUUACCAUCAGCAAACAUGGAAACAAAUCAAAACAUUUAGAAUGGCGUAGUGGCCAGCAGUUAGUGAUGCCAGUGUUAUGCAAGUGAGCGUCAGCAAAGGAAGUUUUCAAGACAGUCUGCCUCACUAGCCAGAAGUCCUUCCCGUCUCAGCUGCUCCUUAAAUCCAUGCAACUCCUCCAAAUUAGUGUGAAUGGAAACAUGCACUGCGUUUUCAACUUAAUUGAGUACUUACUAUGUGUGAAUUACUGUACAAAAUAGGGGAAGGAACAUGAGAGAGGCAAGAUGUGGGCCCUACCAUCCAUGGAUUUACAAUUAGUUUCAGUGCACAUAUUUUUUGUCUUCUGUUCUUAAUUAAAUGUGUCUCUAACAGAGGAAAUGAAUGAAAAAGUGUGUUCUGUAAGUUUUUUAAAGUUCCUUUAAUAAAAACCCAAA